GUCAAUUUGUAAAGUCUCCAAUUCCCUUAAUUAGAAGUACUGGUCUAUAUUGAAAAUCAAUGUUUUUCAACUUGUCAACUUCCUACAUCUUUAUGAAAAUUGAGAACAAGUAUAAAUUCAUUUAGAAAGAAAGUCUAAAAAGUCUCAAACAAUUACACAGACCAUAGUAGUAUCAAGGAUAACCCCUCGAAUCAAGCCAAAGAAAAGGAGGAUGAUUCUUAGACUUAAAUCAAGGCUAAUAUUAGAAUGUAACUGUUAGGAAAUUGCAACGACAAAAUUAGUCUAGUUGCUUAAAAUAGACUCGGUACGAUGUAUAUAAAUAUUGUAUUAUCUUGUAAACAAUAAGUGUGGAAAAAUCUCAUUGACUUGAGCAAUACAGAAAUUAAGUCUACCAUACAAUUUUUAUCAUGGUAUUAGAGCAGUCAAGCUCUAACAAGCAAUUGAUCCCCUCCCCAAAAUUGUUCUCUCCCAUGCCAUCAACAUCCCUGACUCCUUCCCGAUUACAACCGCUCUCUCCAAUUGAUAAAUCCUUGAUUGCCCUCAACAUUUCUUUUUAGGUUAAUGAGAAGCUAACACCCCUAGUCUUUCCAAAAUGGCGUGCCCACAUUGAAGCCCUUCUCAUUGACUAUGAUCUCCUGGACUACGUCACUAGAGACCACCUAUGCCCCGUCCUUACUCCCAGCUCUCCAACAGACCCAUAGGUUCGUCAAAAUAAGCUCAUCCUUAAUACUAUUUGGCCUUCACUACUACAACCAUCACCCUCCGUCACUGCCACCAAAACAUUCUAGGAUGCAUGAAAAAAAUUAAACAUCAAGAAUGCAAGUAAGUUGCGAACCCGAGCAAUGCAACUAAAGGAGGAGGUUACCUUGAUUCAGUUGGGCAAUUGUUUCAUGCCGAUUAUUUGUACAUGGUGAAAAUUUCUUGAAGAUGAGAUUGCCCUCAUCAAUCAUCCCAAUCUAAUGAUGAUCUCACCCUUUACAUUCUUCAUGGUCUACGUCUCGACUUCCGUGCGAUUGUCGUCCCUAUUUGUGCUCAAGAGAACUCAUGGACCUUCAAGGACCUCUACAAUUUCCUCGUUGACCAUGAAAGCUACUUGCGUCGCCUCAAGGUCAUCGCCUAGUAGCUAGUUGCCACAGCCAAUUCCAUCCAUCGCCACUCUAUUUUGCAUAACGCAACUGGAAGCCCCCAGCAACGUGGGUCUUAUAAGGGCAAUGGACCCUGAUGGUCUUCAAGCCCACCUCAUCCCAACAAUGACCUAAAUCAUGACCAUAGGAGGCCCUGGAAACUCUAUAAGCCGGUUUAAUUAAAGCCACACUGUUAGUAACCCAAGAAAUAGUUUUGUGAUCAACUGGCUCAUACUGUAAAAAGUUGUCUGUGGUCGCAUUCUUCUAAUGUUACCGUGAAUUGUGCCUUCACCUCUUGCACCAAAGACAAUGAAUGGCUCAUUGAUUCUGCGGCAUCUCACAAAGUUAAUGGUAAUUUGACAAACUUGUGCACCUACUCUGAGUGUGAUGGGACAUGUGAGGUAGCAAUUGGUAACGAAUCAAGUUUGCUUGUCUUCUAUGAUGGUUCUUUAGUAUUUCAAACGUCCAUUUGUACCUUCCAUCUGGAUCAAACACUUUGUGCUCCUAAAAUCAGCAAAAAUUUGAUCUUUGUCCAUCAUUUUACAUCUCAAAAUAAUGUUUUUAUUGAAUUUCACCCCACUUAUUUCCCUGUGAAAGAUCAGAUCACAACGCGAUAAUGCUUAGAGGUAUAUGUGAAAAAGGUUUGUACACACUCCCAAAGUCAUUGGUGGAUUCAUCAAAAUGGUUGCAAAUAUACAUGAGCGAACCUCGAUUGAGAGAUGGCACAAGCGUCUCGGACAUCCACCUUUCAAAACUGCCCAAAAUUUAGUUAAUUUUUUUUCACUUCCAGUAAGAAAAGAGCGAUUGUCUCAUCUAUGUACUUCUUGUUCAGGCAAUAAAGUGCAUAAACAACCAUUUCGUUCCACUAGUCUUCAAAGUCAUGCUCCCCUUGACCUUAUUUAUACUUCUAUUGGUCUUGAUGGUUUACGAUAUUAUUUGAUUUUGGUUGAUAAUUUUACCAAAAAUUUAGGGUUCUAUCCUAUGGCUACCAAAUUUAGUGUUCCUAGUAUCUUUCCAAAAUUCAAACACCUUGUUGAAAAUAGAUUUCAAACCAAAAUCACAAGUCUUUGCUUUGAUAAUGGUGGUGAAUCCUUGCCUGAAAAUAAUAACUUUCAAUUCAUGGAAUUAGUCACUAAACCACUGCACCCUAUUCACAACGGCAAAAUAAGGUCCCUGAACGUCAUCAUUGUCACUUGGUGGAAACAGAUCUCACCCUACUGCAUGAUGCAUCCUUGCCCCUCUCUUAUUAGCCGCAUGCCUUCCAUAUUGCCACCUAUCCAUAAACCGUCAACCUACACCUUUGUUAUGGAACAAAUCCCCAUUUUGCAAGCUUCUUAACUAUCUCAAAUUACAAAGUUUUGGUUUCCAUUGCUUUCUACUCACCAGGCCUUGCUACAACAUAAGCUUCAGCACAAAUCUGUUUACUGCUUAUUCCUUAGCUAUCCUUAACUUAAACCCCAAAAUGCAUAUAAAUGUCUACAUCUAUUUGAUGAGAGACUAAGCCCGAUCCAGUCACAAACCACAAAGAGAAAGGGCCAUCCUUUUAUUCGGGUUAUUUAGGCUAUUUCUCAUGCAUCACAGCGAUCUCCAUCGACAAUGGUUUCGAACUAUGUUGUUGCUGCUUCCACAUCAACUCCAUGUAACUCUCAUGUGCCAUCUGAUCCUUCUUUGGGACAAUCUACCUUUAUCCUCUAUUGACUUAUUACCCAGCGCUACCGUGAGGUCAUCUCGUUAGAUGUUACACCCAUACUACCUUCUACCGUGCCCAUCCCACCAGUAGCUCCCACUUUUGUCCAAGAAAAAGCCAUCCCCUAUCCCACCACAUAGAACCCACCUGAUGAUUACUUAUCUCCAAACCACAUAUACAAACUUAAAUAAUUUUAUUCAGACACAAAAUAUCCUAUCCAACACACCAUUGAUCCAAAUUGUGUGUGUCAAGCACUCUGUGAUACCUAGUGGCAUACUCAAUGACCUAGGUAACAUUACAAAGAGACAUUUAGUCUUUUUGUGCGACCUGCCACAAUUAAAACUGUUUUGAAAAUUGCUGUUGCAAGAAUAGUUAUUUAAGACAGCUUGAUGUGGACAAUAUUUUUUUUCAUGUGAGUUGAUUGAGAAUGUGUAUAUGGUUCAGCCUCCAGGGUUUAAGGAUAUGUCCAAUUCUGAUCAUUUUUACAGAUUGCACAAGGCCAUUUAUGAUCUCAAUCAGCCCCUCGAGCGUGGUACUUUUCAUUGAAACAUACCCUGAUCGAGCUUGGUUUUUAAAAUUCAAAGGCAGAUUCAUCCUUGUUUAUCUAUUAAAAUAGUUCUAUUAUAUUGUAUUUUCUAGAUUAUUUCCACAAGGACUAUUAUCACUACAAGAAUUUUAUGUUUUCCAUACAAGAUAUAUUCGUAGGGAAAGGUUCUUAUUUGUGGGAAGAAACUUUUGCGGAAGAAAAAAUUUUGGAGGAAAAUUUUUAGAGCAAAUAUCAAGGGGAUAAGUAAAAGACAACAAUUUUCGAUAUUUGUGUGUAAAGUUUUC
rnacentral:lncRNA from 1 species